CUAGGGAUAAUUGGCCGAUCUUCCCCAAGAGUCCACAUCGACGGGAAGGUUUGGCACCUCGAUGUCGGCUCUUCGCCGCCUGGAGCUGUAGGUGGCGUCCACAUCAAAAGAGCAAUCAUAACCUAGAGUGCUAAAUAGAUUUUCAGCUCUAACUCUAUCAAUUUGAGUCUCCACAAUACAAAGCACUUUAGGGGCAAACUUAGUCACGAUCUCGCGUAGCUCUUGAACUGUUGGGGCGUUGCCUAUACCUCGACAGUUCCAGCAUAC
rnacentral:rRNA from 1 species